GUGCUCAAUUUGGCAACACAUAUACUAAAAUUAGAAUAAUACAGAGAGGAUUAGCACAGGCCCUGGGCAAGGAUGACAGGCACAUUUUUGAAGUAUUUUAUUUGUAC
ensembl:snRNA Gm26008 U6 spliceosomal RNA